GACGAACGCUGGCGGCGUGCUUAACACAUGCAAGUCGAACGGUGAAGCUCCAGCUUGCUGGAGUGGAUCAGUGGCGAACGGGUGAGUAACACGUGAGCAACCUGCCCCUGACUCUGGAAUAAGCGCUGGAAACGGCGUCUAAUACUGGAUACGAGAAGGGUCCGCAUGGGCACUUUCUGGAAAGUUUUUCGGUUGGGGAUGGGCUCGCGGCCUAUCAGCUUGUUGGUGAGGUAAUGGCUCACCAAGGCGACGACGGGUAGCCGGCCUGAGAGGGCGACCGGCCACACUGGGACUGAGACACGGCCCAGACUCCUACGGGAGGCAGCAGUGGGGAAUAUUGCACAAUGGGCGAAAGCCUGAUGCAGCGACGCCGCGUGAGGGAUGACGGCCUUCGGGUUGUAAACCUCUUUCAGCAGGGAAGAAGCGAAAGUGACAGUACCUGCAGAAAAAGCACCGGCUAACUACGUG
rnacentral:rRNA from 1 species